rnacentral:lncRNA from 1 species
GCGGCCGCCCUCAGCCUCAGUCUCCAAAUCCGAGAAAGGACCGCAGUGGCUGCAGACCAAACGUGAAUGAUGUAACGUCUCAGGAUUGCCAAGGUGGGGUCCUCCUUGCACCAGCCGGCCUUGGAGACAAUUAACCAGCACCUUUCCCUCCUUCUUGCCCUCCCAUCCGCCCCUAGAGCCGCCCAUCCAAGCAGGGGUGGCGGCUGCCCGUAGUCUUAGCAGCUGUUUCUCAGUUUCUUCAGCCAGGAUUGAGCAGACCCGGCGACACCAGGCUCUCCACGGAGUCCUUCAGGCCAGAUGCCUUGAUUUUCUUUCCCAAGAGGCCUGAUGUCAUCUUGGGAACAGCCAGAAAGGGGCAGGAGUCAGGGAGGAGUUAUUUCCACUGCUGCCCCUCCCUCACCCGCUUCCCCCCACCCCCAGCCCUGCCCCUGACAUGGCCCUGGAACCUCCCACAGCCUCUCCUCCCACUUGCUCCCCCCACCCCCGCCCCCACCCCCAGGCCCUGCCCUGGGCCAGCACAGUCUGUGUGAAUGUCUAAUCUCCAAUUUUAUUCUGCUGGGCUACAGCCCAUUUGCAUAAUCCACACAGGCACCCUGGUUUUAAUUGCCCACAACUCUGCAGAAAGAUCAUGUGGUUAAGUGGUAAAUCAUAAUUAGAUAAAUAAUUGGUUUGGCCACAGCAAGCUGCUUCUGUUUCACCUGCCAUCUGCCGGACCCGGUUUCUCUUCUGGCCGGAACAAUGCGCUUCUGAUGACAGAGCACACUGCUGCUCCCUUGUGGGGGUGGAGGGGGCUGAGCGGAGGGGCUUGGAAACCGAGCCUGGAAAAGUGCCCGAUUGCUGGGGUCUCUUUCCCCUAGCCAGGCAAGCCCCACACUUGCCAUUCACCCUGUGUGGGUAAUGGGGGCACGGGCGGGGGAGAGUUCUGGAUCUGCUAUAGAAAGGGAGGCUUGGUUCUGAGCAGAGCGGGGGCCCGGACUGGCUUGCUUGGACCUGGGAUCACCUGUGUAGGGCCGACCUGGGGGCCUCAUUCCUUGGGGUUCCGAGGGAGUUGGUGGGCAGAGCUGGAGCAGGCAGGCCUCCCUGCC